rnacentral:siRNA from 1 species
AGGAAUGUCAUUGAAGGUCUUCUU